GCCGGGCGUGGUGGCUCAUGCCUGUAAUCCCGGCACUUUGGGAGGCUGAGGUGGGUGGAUCACCUGAGGUCGGGAGUUCGAGACUAGCCUGACCAACAUGGAGAAACCCCGUCUCUA
rnacentral:SRP_RNA from 1 species